GCAGCAGUGGGGAAUAUUGCACAAUGGGGGAAACCCUGAUGCAGCCAUGCCGCGUGUGUGAAGAAGGCCUUCGGGUUGUAAAGCACUUUCAGUAGGGAGGAAGGUAGUGUAGUUAACACCUGCAUUAUUUGACGUUACCUACAGAAGAAGCACCGGCUAACUCCGUGCCAGCAGCCGCGGUAAUACGGAGGGUGCGAGCGUUAAUCGGAAUUACUGGGCGUAAAGCGCAUGCAGGCGGCCUGUUAAGUCAGAUGUGAAAGCCCGGGGCUUAACCUCGGAAUUGCAUUUGAAACUGGCAGGCUAGAGUCUUGUAGAGGGGGGUAGGAAUUUCAGGUGUAGCGGUGAAAUGCGUAGAGAUCUGAAGGAAUACCAGUGGCGAAGGCGGCCCCCUGGACAAAGACUGACGCUCAGAUGCGAAAGCGUGGGGAGCAAACAGGAUUAGAUACCCUGGUAG
rnacentral:rRNA from 1 species